UGAGGAAUAUUGGACAAUGGGCGCAAGCCUGAUCCAGCCAUGCCGCGUGCAGGAUGACGGUCCUAUGGAUUGUAAACUGCUUUUGUACAGGAAGAAACAGUUCUACGUGUAGAACCUUGACGGUACUGUAAGAAUAAGGAUCGGCUAACUCCGUGCCAGCAGCCGCGGUAAUACGGAGGAUCCAAGCGUUAUCCGGAAUCAUUGGGUUUAAAGGGUCCGUAGGCGGUUAGAUAAGUCAGUGGUGAAGGCCCAUCGCUCAACGGUGGAACGGCCAUUGAUACUGUCUGACUUGAAUUAUUAGGAAGUAACUAGAAUAUGUAGUGUAGCGGUGAAAUGCUUAGAGAUUACAUGGAAUACCAAUUGCGAAGGCAGGUUACUACUAAUGGAUUGACGCUGAUGGACGAAAAGCGUGGGUAGCGAACAGGAUUAGAUACCCAUGUAGUCCCUGAGCGGGCUGGCAAGGCGCAU
rnacentral:rRNA from 1 species